CCGCUCCCGCCCUUUCCCUUCCCUUCCCUCGGCUCCUUCCCCUUCCCUCCGCUCCUUUCCUCCAGGCCGAGCCCCUUUCCCAGCUCCCUCAGCCCCUCCUGGCGCUCCGGGGCACGGGGAAGAAGCUUUUUUGCUCCAGCAGAGAUUUUCCUUCUCCCUCUGGGCUGUUGUGGCCUGGGGUCCGUCAGGGGUGGAUCCAGGACAAGCCCCAGGCUGUGCUGGCACGCCCGGCCUUGGUUUGGCGUUUAACCCAAACUCCUGAGGCGCUGGGAUGGCACCACCGGGAUUUUGGGUCCACGGGAGCUUCGGAACCAUCGACUCACCCCUGUUUUAAGGCGAAUCUCCGCAGCUCCAGGGCUGUGCCAGCGUUUGGGAGAACGAGAGUAGCCCGGGCUCGGUGCUGGACCCUGCUGCUUGACAAGGCGAAGUUUGGUCAAAGGCUGCACUCGAUGAUCUCCGAGGUUUUUCCGAUCCCAGCGAUCCCGGGAUUCCUCAGGGCUCUCUGCCAUCCUGCUCCUGUCCAGCGAGGCCAAAUUCUCACCGUGACACAACAGCAGCCUAAGCAGGUUUUCCAGCUCCAAAGGAGAGGAAUCAGCAGGGAAGGGAUGGUUAAAUCCUUGUGUUUUCCUGUUUAGAUCCGGGGAUAUUCAGCUCUCCUCAGGACAGGAAUCUGAGGAAAGGGUGAUUAAAUCCCUUUAAAACCCUCGUGUUUAGCUGUUUCUGUCUGUAGCCAAGGAAAUGUUUUUCCUCUUUCCCAGAAGGAAGUUUUCCCUUGAGGAAGUGGGAGGGGAUGGCACCGAGGGAGCUCCUGGUUGUUUUUCACAAGGUUCUGCUGCAAAAUUGAACCUGAUCAGGAGAAAUUCUCACCAAGCUCCCAGAACUGCUCUGUCUGAUGAAAUCUCCCAUCAGAGCUCUUGGACUCCCCUCUGCUGAGUUUAUUUCACACUGUCCUUGCACACAGAUGUUUAUUCCAACUCUUCACAUGAUGCAAACCCCCUCCCAUUCCUGCUUUUUCUGCCAAAUACCUUCCAAACUUCCUGGCUCCUUGCUCAGCCCUGCUGUAAAUCAGCACAGCCAAUAAAUUCAUAAUUGCUUGUGCA
rnacentral:lncRNA from 1 species